CAGCCGUAAACUAUGCGCGUUAGGUGUACUGGUGACCACGAGUCACCGGGGUGCCGAAGGGAAACCGUGAAACGUGCCGCCUGGGAAGUACGGUCGCAAGGCUGAAACUUAAAGGAAUUGGCGGGGGAGGCACCACAACGGGUGGAGCCUGCGGGUUUAAUUUGGACUCAACGCCGGAAAUCUCACCGGAUAGGACAGACAUAUGAUAGUCGGGCUGAAGACUCUACUUGAUGAUCUGAGAGGUGGUGCAUGGC
rnacentral:rRNA from 1 species